AAGAAGAGGUUGUAUCAUGUAUGCUUGUUUUGCUUUUAACAUGAUAGACCAGAGAAAUACAGUUUACUAUUCUUCAAAAUUAGUCAAGAGUAAUCCGGAUGUCCUAGACUGCAGCUGGAUUGCAAAAACUAAUUGAAUCAUCCACAAAAUGGAGCCAUAGAGUCAUACCCAACAUAAUUCAAGUUGUUCUUCUUGGCACAUUGAUUCGACAUCAAAUCGUUCAGUUCGUGGCUUGGCUUCGACAACAGAUCAAUGGUGUUGUAGAAAAUCCCUUUCGCCAAUUUCACAAACCCAAAAACAAUUGCAAUUCACUUUAUAAUUCUAUGUUGUUUCAUGCUAUACCUGUUGAAGUACUUUACAAGUAAGCACUUCAUAUGUAAAUUAGUUCAUUUUAAGCAUUUUGAAAUUUUUUCUUGAA